rnacentral:rRNA from 1 species
UACGUGGGGUGCAAGCGUUGUUCGGAGUUACUGGGCGUAAAGCGCGUGUAGGUUGUUAAGUAAGUCAGAUGUGAAAUCCCUCAGCUCAACUGAGGAACUGCGUCUGAUACUGUUUAGCUAGAGUACGGGAGAGGAGGGUGGAAUUCCCAGUGUAGAGGUGAAAUUCGUAGAUAUUGGGAGGAACACCGGUGGCGAAGGCGACUCUCUGGACCGUAACUGACACUGAUACGCGAAAGCGUGGGGAUCAAACAGG